UCCGUAGGUGAACCUGCGGAGGGAUCAUUACCGAGUUUACAACUCCAAAACCCCUGUGAACAUACCAAUUGUUGCCUCGGCGGAUCAGCCCGCUCCCGGUAAAACGGGACGGCCCGCCAGAGGACCCCUAAACUCUGUUUCUAUAUGUAACUUCUGAGUAAAACCAUAAAUAAAUCAAAACUUUCAACAACGGAUCUCUUGGUUCUGGCAUCGAUGAAGAACGCAGCAAAAUGCGAUAAGUAAUGUGAAUUGCAGAAUUCAGUGAAUCAUCGAAUCUUUGAACGCACAUUGCGCCCGCCAGUAUUCUGGCGGGCAUGCCUGUUCGAGCGUCAUUUCAACCCUCAAGCCCAGCUUGGUGUUGGGACUCGCGAGUCAAAUCGCGUUCCCCAAAUUGAUUGGCGGUCACGUCGAGCUUCCAUAGCGUAGUAGUAAAACCCUCGUUACUGGUAAUCGUCGCGGCCACGCCGUUAAACCCCAACUUCUGAAUGUUGACCUCGGAUCAGGUAGGAAUACCCGCUGAACUUAAGCAUAUCAAUAAGCGGAGGA
rnacentral:rRNA from 1 species